rnacentral:rRNA from 1 species
UUGGAGGGCAAGUCUGGUGCCAGCAGCCGCGGUAAUUCCAGCUCCAAUAGCGUAUAUUAAAGUUGUUGCAGUUAAAAAGCUCGUAGUUGAAUUUCGGGGUUCUACCGUUGGUCGGGCUUUGUCUGUACUGGUGUGUAGAAUUUCUACCUUCUGGGGAACCAUCAUGCUAUUAAUUUAGCGUGGUGGGAAACCAGGACCUUUACCUUGAAAAAAUUAGUGUGUUCAAAGCAGGCUUAUGUCUGAAUACAUUAGCGUGGAAUAAUAGAAUAGGACGGUGGUCCUGUUUUGUUGGUUUCUGAAUCACCGUAAUGAUUAAUAGGGAUAGUUGGGGGCAUUAGUAUUCAAUUGUCAGAGGUGAAAUUCUUGGAUUUAUUGAAGACUAACUUCUGCGAAAGCAUUUGCCAAGGAUGUUUUCAUUAAUCAAGAACGAAAGUUAGGGGAUCGAAGACGAUCAGAUACCGUCGUAGUCUUAACCAUAAACUAUGCCGACUAGGGAUCGGAUGAUGUUAAUGUUUUAAUGACUCAUUCGGCGCCUUACGGGAAAC